UACGAAGGGGGCUAGCGUUGCUCGGAAUUACUGGGCGUAAAGCGCACGUAGGCGGCUUCUUAAGUCGGUGGUGAAAUCCUGGAGCUCAACUCCAGAACUGCCUUCGAUACUGGCGAUCUUCGAGUCCGGGAGAGGUGAGUGGAACUCCGAGUGUAGAGGUGAAAUUCGUAGAUAUUCGGAAGAACACCAGUGGCGAAGGCGGCUCACUGGCCCGGUACUGACGCUGAAAUACGAAAGCGUGGGGAGCAAACAGG
rnacentral:rRNA from 1 species